CAGUAGCCACGGGAAUACGUAGGGCGCAAGCGUUAUCCGGAAUUAUUGGGCGUAAAGAGCUCGUAGGCGGUUUGUCGCGUCUGCCGUGAAAGUCCGGGGCUCAACCCCGGAUCUGCGGUGGGUACGGGCAGACUAGAGUGAUGUAGGGGAGACUGGAAUUCCUGGUGUAGCGGUGAAAUGCGCAGAUAUCAGGAGGAACACCGAUGGCGGAGGCAGGUCUCUGGGCAUUAACUGACGCUGAGGAGCGAAAGCAUGGGGAGCGAACAGGAUUAGAUACCCCUGUAGUCCCUGUCUCUUAUAC
rnacentral:rRNA from 1 species